UACGGAAGGGGGCUAGCGUUGUUCGGAAUCACUGGGCGUAAAGCGCACGUAGGCGGAUCUUUAAGUCAGGGGUGAAAUCCCGAGGCUCAACCUCGGAACUGCCUUUGAUACUGGGGAUCUCGAGUCCGGGAGAGGUGAGUGGAACUGCGAGUGUAGAGGUGAAAUUCGUAGAUAUUCGCAAGAACACCAGUGGCGAAGGCGGCUCACUGGCCCGGAACUGACGCUGAGGUGCGAAAGCGUGGGGAGCAAACAGG
rnacentral:rRNA from 1 species